ensembl:lncRNA
UGAGUAGUUGUUCAUCACUGAGCAAUUUGUUAAUAUGUGUUUCGAGCCAAAUAAAUGACAGGGAGAGAGAGAGUGACAUCAGAACACGUCAUACUAUAACCUCCCGGGAGCGGACGGAGGGGGUCAGUCGUUGAGAUGCGCAUGCGCAGACAGAGUGUGCGAGCGGCGGACCUUGACCUUUCGGGAAAAAAAACUCACGGACGGUGACAGCGAAACGGAUAACAGUCUUCAGUACCUGCUGGACUUUGAAGCUGUGGAUUCUGGGACUGUUAGAAAAGAUGGAGGAUCACUAACAGGAGCGUGGGAAGACUCCAGAAUCCACUCUGGCUGGAAUCCGGUGGAUAUGCAGUGUGUACAGAACAGUUCUCCACAGUCGCUGUCCACAUGGGUCAGUGGGACCAAGAAGCACUCUGCUAAUGUGGGACUCUGACCAGCAACAUCCAGCAGGACCCAGACAGCGUUUUCUAUCUCCCAGCUGGAGGUUUUUGUUUGUCUGUGACUGGAGAGUCAGAUUUUUGUUGAGCUUCACACUUGCAGAGGUUAAUACACGCUACUGAUCCCUGAUAGGAGAAUCAUCAAUUUUGGCAACAAAGAAGCCUGGUGGAUGUUUGUUUACAGUCUGAUGAUGGGACAUCAUGCUCUGCAUCUUCAAAGUUUGCCUCCUCAUUAUUAUUCAUACCCAGUAAUGUGAAGUAUGCUCAUAUCUACUAUAACUGAACCAACCUGGUGCUCUUCAUUUAUGGAGGCUGUUGAGUCUGAAUGUUGGAUGUUGUGUAUCUCGUGUUCUCUGGGCUUUGUUGUCCUCAGUCUUUUUGCAGGAUCAGAAAACAAAACCAGGAGGCGUGUAAAUGUUUCUUCUCCAUGAUGUUUCUUCAAAUGUUUCUUCUGGAUGAUGAUAAGACUGUGACACGGGAUGCCACCUUUGGUCUUGUGAUGAAGCAAAGCUCAGGAAGAAGUGGGAUUAAAUGGUACCCACAUGUGUGCUGCUGAGAAGGAUGUACAGGGGCACCUGCAGCCAAAUCCAAGCCUCAGAGCGGCAGUUUGUGCUCACAGAUGGUGACGGUGUGGAGAGACGGUGGUGUUUCCUCAGAAGAACCAGCAGAGUCACAAAGGACACCAGUCCAUCUCACCACCGUGACUCGCUGACUGAUGUUCGUCUGCACUGCACAGAGGAAAUCAACUGACCAAGGUUUGUCCAGUGACGUGUUAUGAAAUGUAUAUUUGUUUUAUGCUUACAGUUAUGUUUUUCUUGACAGAGGCUCUGCAGAGGUUAGACAAAGCAGAGAAAAUAUGUGCUUUACAUUUUACUGUGAUUUAUUGAGAUAUUUGUUGCCUGAUGUUCAGCAGGAAUGGAGAAAUAAAAUCACAGGGAGAUGUUUUUGCUGUUUUUGUAAUGAUGUAAGUAAAUCUUCAAUAUUAUUUAUUUGCUUGGUUAUAUUAGGAGUGUUUCUGAGUGAGGGGGAGAGGAGUCAUCAUCCAGGUAAAGUGACGUAGAUCAGUGGAUACACUUGUCUCCCCUUUAAAGGAGACGAUCAGAGUCAUCCUUAAAUGUUAGUGCUUUCAAAUACACAAACAUUUUUAAAGGACAAAAAUGAACAUCCAACUUUGACUGUAAUACAAAAUAAAUCUUUGCAUGUGUGUUUUCAAACUCUCAGAUGGGCAGUAUAUCAGUCUUGGACUGUCUAACCUGCUGGAGCAGCACUGAAUGACCACCACACAUGAGCAUGUUCCCGCAACAUUCAGCAUCUGAUCUGUCAUCUGUGUGCUGCUGCUUUUGUGUCACAUGUCAAACAGCUGGAGAGGAAACUACACCAGUGUACUGGGAUGUUUCAGCAACACGUGCCAGAUGCUGUUCCUUCAUGGUGACAUCACCAGAGACAGCCCCACCCACCUCAGGACCUCGCCAUUGAUCAUGAUGAUUAUAAUGAUGACAGCGAGCGGAACUAAGACUGUAAAAAUCCACGACCAGAAUUUUUCUUUCUAAUUAUGAAUGAAUACUGAGAGCCUCGUUCUGUGUUUUGUCUGUUUUGGUUGUUUUUUUUUUUACCUCAUUUGUUACUAACAAAGUUCACAAACUCACACAGUUUACAUUCUGUAUGUUUCCAUCUUUACCAGCCACAAUCUAACUGCAUUUAAGAAAAUAAUCCUUAGAAAUCGUCGUUUUUCUUUUGUAAUUGAUGAUAAUUCAGUGAAUAUACUGCGCUGCUUCCUUUUAUUGCGUCACACAUUGCUUUAUGUUUUUCAGUGUCCAGUUAUUUUUUACUGCUGUUUGAAUUCUCUGUAUGUUUGACCCUGUAGACUGUUUGAUGGACUGCUUGUCUUCCUGUUUGUUACCGCCGCCUGUUUUUUAAUAAAGAUUUGGAUUUCUGACUUCAACACAGCCUCUGCGUGUCCUCCCUUUGUGUCCUCUUC